AUCCAGAUGAUGAGUCCCAAAUGCAGGGCGAAAUGCGCCUCCUGGAU
rnacentral:hammerhead_ribozyme from 1 species